GACGAACGCUGGCGGCGUGCUUAACACAUGCAAGUCGAGCGGUAAGGCCCUUUCGGGGGUACGACGAGCGGCGAACGGGUAGGAGUAACAACGUGGGUGGACCUCGCCCUCCAGCUCUGGGAGUAAGCCUGGGAAACGUAGGGUCGUAAUACUGGAUAUGACUCCACGGUGCAUGUCGUGGGGUGGAAAGCCUUGUGCGGCUGAGGAUGGGCCCGGCGGCCUAUCAGCUUGUUGGUGGGGUGAUGGCCUACCAAGGCGACGACGGGUAGCCGGCCUGAGAGGGCGACCGGCCACACUGGGACUGAGACACGGCCCAGACUCCUACGGGAGGCAGCAGUGGGGAAUCUUGCGCAAUGGGCGAAAGCCUGACGCAGCGACGCCGCGUGAGGGAUGACGGCCU
rnacentral:rRNA from 1 species